CAGUCGAGCGGUAAGGCCCUUCGGGGUACACGAGCGGCGAACGGGUGAGUAACACGUGGGUGAUCUGCCUUGCACUUCGGGAUAAGCCUGGGAAACUGGGUCUAAUACCGGAUAUGACCCUGGAAUGCAUGUUCUGGGGUGGAAAGAUUUAUCGGUGCGAGAUGGGCCCGCGGCCUAUCAGCUUGUUGGUGAGGUAACGGCUCACCAAGGCGACGACGGGUAGCCGACCUGAGAGGGUGACCGGCCACACUGGGACUGAGACACGGCCCAGACUCCUACGGGAGGCAGCAGUGGGGAAUAUUGCACAAUGGGCGCAAGCCUGAUGCAGCGACGCCGCGUGCGGGAUGACGGCCUUCGGGUUGUAAACCGCUUUUGACAGGGACGAAGCGCAAGUGACUGUACCUGUAGAAUAAGGACCGGCCAACUACGUGCCAGCAGGGGCGGGUAAUACGUAGGGUCCGAGCGUUGUCCGGAAUUACUGGGGCGUAAAGAGCUUGUAGGCGGUUCGUCGCGUCGUUUGUGAAAACUUGGGGCUCAACCUUAAGCUUGCAGGCGAUACGGGCGGACUAGAGUACUUCAUGGGAGACUGGAAUUCCUGGUGUAGCGGUGAAAUGCGCAGAUAUCAGGAGGAACACCGGUGGCGAAGGCGGGUCUCUGGGAAGUAACUGACGCUGAGAAGCGAAAGCAUGGGUAGCAAACAGGAUUAGAUACCCUGGUAGUCCAUGCCGUAAACGGUGGGUACUAGGUGUGGGGCUCCUUCCACGGACUCCGUGCCGUAGCUAACGCAUUAAGUACCCCGCCUGGGGAGUACGGCCGCAAGGCUAAAACUCAAAGAAAUUGACGGGGGCCCGCACAAGCGGCGGAGCAUGUGGAUUAAUUCGAUGCAACGCGAAGAACCUUACCUGGGUUUGACAUACACCGGAAACCUGCAGAGAUGUAGGCCCCCUUGUGGUCGGUGUACAGGUGGUGCAUGGCUGUCGUCAGCUCGUGUCGUGAGAUGUUGGGUUAAGUCCCGCAACGAGCGCAACCCUUAUCUUAUGUUGCCAGCGCGUAAUGGCGGGGACUCGUGAGAGACUGCCGGGGUCAACUCGGAGGAAGGUGGGGACGACGUCAAGUCAUCAUGCCCCUUAUGUCCAGGGCUUCACACAUGCUACAAUGGCCGGUACAGAGGGCUGCGAUACCGCGAGGUGGAGCGAAUCCCUUAAAGCCGGUCUCAGUUCGGAUCGGGGUCUGCAACUCGACCCCGUGAAGUUGGAGUCGCUAGUAAUCGCAGAUCAGCAACGCUGCGGUGAAUACGUUCCCGGGCCUUGUACACACCGCCCGUCACGUCAUGAAAGUCGGUAACACCCGAAGCCGGUGGUACUA
rnacentral:rRNA from 1 species